GGGGCCGUGGGGUAGCCUGGGUAUCCUCUCGGCUUGGGGUGCCGGUGACCCGAGUUCAAAUCUCGGCGGCCCCA
rnacentral:tRNA from 1 species